rnacentral:rRNA from 1 species
AGCGAACGCUGGCGGCAGGCCUAACACAUGCAAGUCGAACGAACUCUUCGGAGUUAGUGGCGGACGGGUGAGUAACACGUGGGAACGUGCCUUUAGGUUCGGAAUAACUCAGGGAAACGUGUGCUAAUACCGAAUGUGCCCUUCGGGGGAAAGAUUUAUCGCCUUUAGAGCGGCCCGCGUCUGAUUAGCUAGUUGGUGAGGUAAAGGCUCACCAAGGCGACGAUCAGUAGCUGGUCUGAGAGGAUGAUCCGCCACAUUGGGACUGAGACACGGCCCAAACUCCUACGGGAGGCAGCAGUGGGGAAUCUUGCGCAAUGGGCGAAAGCCUGACGCAGCCAUGCCGCGUGAAUGAUGAAGGUCUUAGGAUUGUAAAAUUCUUUCACCGGGGACGAUAAUGACGGUACCCGGAGAAGAAGCCCCGGCUAACUUCGUG